rnacentral:lncRNA from 1 species
GGCAAAACAAAGCCCUCCGCCAAUCAGACCGUUUUUAAGAGGAGCUUCUCCACCUUGAUUGUGCGUUAGAACCACCUGAGACCUUCAGAACUACUGAUGCUUGGGGCCCAAAUUUUAUCAUUAUGUGAGACUCUCUGGAAAGGGACCCUUAUCAGGAUAGUUAAACCCUCUCCAGGUUGUUCUAAUCUGCAGCCUGGGCAUGACUCAGUUUACUAAAGUCUCCACCUCACUGGAGCACAAUGAGGUGGGAAUGGACCAAGGAGGCCCCUUCACCCGGGUGCAGCUCAUGGCAAAGUGCACGCUGUUCCUCUAAGGCUGCAGAUGUCAACCCAGACGACACGGUAGAACCACCAAGGGAGCUUUUCACAAAUACUACUGCCUGGAACCCAGCCCCAAAUCAUCAAGUCUGAAUCACUGGGGUUGGCCUUUGAAAUGACUUCCAGAUGAAUCUGUGUAGAAUCAGGGCUGGCAAGCUAUUUCACCACUGAAUUCACUCGCAGACAGGAUUCACGAUACUCUGAGUUUUUGGACUAGUGGGAGAGCUAUGCUUAACCUGGAAGUUAUAUUGAAUUGUACGAGUGUUUGUCAAGGUUGAAGACAGAAUAACAGGGAAACAACUCUGAGGGGGGUCACUGUCUGGGAAGGCGUCUAUGUACCAAGUGACUACCCGAGACCUGCAUGAGGAGUAUGAGCCUGCUUGAUGAAUGGCAUUAGUGGAGGAUGGAAGAGGAGCAAUCACAUCCAAGACCUUUAAUAGUGGCUAGAGCUCCCAUGGGCUUCAGAGACUGCCAGAAGCGGAGAGGAGCAAACACGUUUCUACACUCCGAGACCUCCUGACUCUCCUGAGCUCCAGCAAGGCAGACCAAGAGCCAGCUGUCUGCAGAUCCUGGAUUAGGCCCUGCGGCUGCGGAGAAAACUCAGGGAUAAAAAUGAGGAUAAACUGGGAGGGAACCUGCUUCUUGUGUGUCUGUGGGAGGAUAGGUUUCAAAACCACUGAUGUUUGUUUCUGAAGCUAAAAAUGGAAACAACUUCAAAAUUGUUGAGAUAUAAAGAAAAUAACAUCUGCAUUGAAGCCUGCGCCCCACUUUCACCUCCUUCAGUGGAAUCCACUCACUUUUGCUUACACAGCAGUAUACUUAUAUUGUCAUUUUGUUCCCCUAAGUGCUUAACUCAGUCCUGGGCAGAGAGUAAGCACUGAAUACAUAUUUGCUGAUGUCCAAGGCAAUUAAAUUUUAA